rnacentral:rRNA from 1 species
UACGGAAGGCAGCAGUGGGGAAUAUUGCACAAUGGGCGCAAGCCUGAUGCAGCCAUGCCGCGUGUAUGAAGAAGGCCUUCGGGUUGUAAAGUACUUUCAGCGGGGAGGAAGGCGGUGGAGUUAAUAGCUUCACCGAUUGACGUUACCCGCAGAAGAAGCACCGGCUAACUCCGUGCCAGCAGCCGCGGUAAUACGGAGGGUGCAAGCGUUAAUCGGAAUUACUGGGCGUAAAGCGCACGCAGGCGGUCUGUCAAGUCGGAUGUGAAAUCCCCGGGCUUAACCUGGGAACUGCAUUCGAAACUGGCAGGCUAGAGUCUUGUAGAGGGGGUAGAAUUCCAGGUGUAGCGGUGAAAUGCGUAGAGAUCUGGAGGAAUACCGGUGGCGAAGGCGGCCCCUGGGACAAAGACUGACGCUCAGGGUGCGAAAGCGUGGGGAGCAAACAGGGAUUAGGAUACC